rnacentral:rRNA from 1 species
UACGUAGGGGGCUAGCGUUGUCCGGAAUCAUUGGGCGUAAAGAGCGUGUAGGCGGUCCGGUAAGUCCGCUGUGAAAGUCGGGGGCUCAACCCUCGAAUGCCGGUGGAUACUGUCGGGCUAGAGUGCGGAAGAGGCGAGUGGAAUUCCGGGUGUAGUGGUGAAAUGCGUAGAGAUCCGGAGGAACCCCAGAGGCGAAGGCGGCGCUCUGGCUCGCAACUGACGCUCAGACACGACAGCAUGGGGAGCGAACGGG